rnacentral:tRNA from 1 species
GGCCUAUUAGCUCAGUUGGUCAGAGCGUGGUGCUAAUAACGCCAAGGUCGCAGGUUCGAAACUUGCAUAGGCCA